GUGAGGAAUUUUCCGCAAUGGGCGAAAGCCUGACGGAGCAAUGCCGCGUGAAGGAUGAAGGCCUAUGGGUUGUAAACUUCUUUUCUCAGAAAAGAAUUAUGACGGUAUCUGAGGAAUAAGCAUCGGCUAACUCUGUGCCAGCAGCCGCGGUAAGACAGAGGAUGCAAGCCUUAUCCGGAAUGAUUGGGCGUAAAGCGUCUGUAGGUUGUUUAAAAAGUAUUCUGUCAAAGAUUAGGGCUUAACCCUAGAUAGGCAGAAUAAACUUUUAAGCUAGAGUUUGGUAGAGGCAGAGGGAAUUCCCGGUGGAGCGGUGAAAUGCGUAGAUAUCGGGAGGAACACCAAAGGCGAAGGCACUCUGCUGGGCCAAUACUAACACUGAGAGACGAAAGCGAGGGGAGCAAAUGGGAUUAGAUACCCCUGUAGUCC
rnacentral:rRNA from 1 species